GGGAUGCCACCGUCACGGCACGCUGCAAGGCUGGGCUGUUGCUGCUAUUCUUAUAUACUUGUAACGGUGAUUUGGUUGUUACUAAAAAUGAGAGCGAGUAGUGACUGUGACCACUGAGGAAGAACCCCUCUUUGCUGUGCAGCAGAUCUAACAGUGAUUCCCAGUAACAGCCUCUACUCUGAGGUGAGGCGUAUCCCUCCCUGUCAAUGGACGCGCACUGCCUUUCCGAGGGGUUCAGACUGGGGAAAAGUCUGAGAGCAUCUCUCAAAAGCUACUUUGGUUAUCUUGCGCACGGAAAUAGCCGCAUAAAUAAAAACCGACUACCGAGCUUCCCUCCUUGCUUUAGGCAUUUAGUAGUCUUCUCCUGAAAGUUUUUUUGUGCCCAAGGGAUGGGAGCAUUUCCUAAUCUUCGUGUUGGCAGCAACAUACACAAUUCCCAUAGGAUUUAGGGGUGGCAGGCCUUGAUGUAGCAAAACAAACAAAAAUUAACGGGGAGGUGCUUCCCCCUCCCAGAGGUAUUUUGUGAGCUCUAUUCAGGAUUUUGUUGCUGUGACAGGAAUAUAAAAAAGACUAGGCAUUAUAGAGAAGAAACAGCAAGUUACUGGAAGUGAAGUUUUGAAAUUACCUAAUUUGUGUGCAUUAAUCAUUUGGUUGUAAUAUAUCUGAGAAAAUAAAAACAUUUAGGGAAGAUACUCUAAUGAUUACAGAGUAUUUGGAUUUCAUAUUUUGGUGAGUGAAGGAAUUGAAAUGUGUAUUGAGGUAUAGUUUUAUUUUGGGGUGGCAGAAUUUGAGAAAGUAAUUUUGGAUUUUACUUGGACUAACGUGAAUGGCUGAAUUUAAUCUGUAUUCUGACAACUUUUUAAGUUUGGUUUUUUUUUUAAGUAUCUGAUAUAAUAAUGAGGAAUUUGAACCUGGUGUGACUGUAGUCCUUUUUAGCUCCAACUCUGUGAUUCUGUCAUGAAAGCAAAUAAUUCCCACUUUUGCUGUUAAAUCUACCAAACCGAACACCAAGUAACAUCUACUCUUGUAAGCAAAGUGGUAAGGAUUCUGCUAGAUGGUGCUAUUUGAUUUAAAUAUAUUUCUCCCAUUCAUUAUAAUUGGCAGCAGGANNNNNNNNNNNNNNNNNNNNNNNNCUUAUGAACUAAGGUGAAGAGGCCACUUUUGGAGAAUUGGCAAUGACUGUUCUGGGUUAAUUGUUGUUGCAUUAAUUUCUAGGUGAAUGUUUGAAUCCAAGACCAAGGUUGAGGUAGAUUCUAUUUAUGGAAUAAACUUAGUUUCAUUUUGCUGGGUGAGUUGAUCUGAUCACUCAUUUUUUCCCCUUUAUGUGUACUUGGGACUUUAAUGGCACUCUUCUACAAUGGCCUAGUAACUUCAGAAGAUAGGAAUCUUGAAGUUGUUUUUAAAAUGGAUGUAACAAAAUUAAAAAAAAUUUUUUUUAAGUGGCAGGUUUUAAAAGGUACCUGGGUGAAGAAUGCUUUCAGUAAGCAAAUUCAAAAUAAUGUACUGACUUUAAAGUCAGAGAAAUAAUGGUUUUCAGUAAUAAAUAUGUAAAUAUUUAUUUUGCUUUAAUAAAAACAUUCUGAAAAUGGGCCAUUAAAAAUAAUGGCAUGGACACAAAAUAAAAACAUGGAUUUUAUAAUCUAUCAAGAAAUGCGUUUUCUAAUGAGUUCAAGUGGAUAGCAGACAGGCCCUUGCCUAUGUUUUUUCUUUCAUUAAGAAGUCGCUAUAUGGAAUACUUGAAAUUAAUUUGUUCGGCUUUACACAUUUCUAUAUUUUCACUCUACAGUUCCGAACAUAAAAAUGGCUGGAGUCAGGUUAAUUACUGAUUUUGUUGUUUUAAAAGCCAGACAGAUUGAAGUCUCUACAAAGAUUUGGAUUAGGUUUAAUUAUAGAGAGAGUGAUUGAAAACCCUUGGAGGGAGGAGGGAUGUUUGUGUAGAAAUUUAAAUUCUGAUCCUCUUAGGUCAUUUCCCCCUUUAACAGGCUUUCUUUCUAACAGUUAUCCCAAUUGCAAUUAAGUAACUAUGAAAUAGGUUGUUCAAUGUCUACCUUUCUCUAAAAUGUAAGUUUCUUGAGGGCAAGGGGUAGUACUUCUAAUUUCUUCUUUAAGGUAUCCUUGACAUUAAAAAUAGUGCCAUCAAAUGUCAAAAGCACCAAAUAAAUACUGAUGGAUAAAUAAGGAUGUUAGACUCAAGAGCAUUUUUUUUUUCCAAUGUGACAAAAUUUUUUUCAAUGACCUCCAAAACAAGGACUUUGAAGUUUGAGUUCCAUAUGCUCUAGCCUAAGUGUAUUUCAAAAAGAGCCGAUAACAACAAAACAGUAAUCAUUAUUUAUCUGUCAUUCUAUGUAUCUGUCACUGUGUUCAGCGCUUUAUAUCUGUGUUAUCUAAUUCUCUCAACUAUACUGCAAGGUAGAUUUUUUUUUGCUCUUGACUAGUUAAGUAACUUAACUUGCCCAAAGAUACAUGGCUAGCUGGAUUUCUGACAAAGAUUUCUUUACUUAAAACCUGUAGUUGAAGCCGAAAGAUACAUUUUUCAGUGUCCCAGAUUGCCUUCCUGAUUUAGGGUAGAAUGCUACAGAUUUAGGGAACAGCAUUAUGUAAUCAGGUAUAACAGACUUUAAAGAUGUGAUCAGAUAUGCAGUCUUAACCAUUGGUGCACCCUCUGCCUAUAUCCUCCUUUAUGACAGAUAUAUGUGUGGUGUGGGGAAGACAUAGAAACUUUAGGAGUGAAAGUUGGAAGCCUAAAAUAAUGAGGAAUCUUUUUCUUCAGAUUUUUCCUUCCAGAAAUUCUCUGAAGUUUUAAACCUUAGACAUUGUAGUUAUGAACAAUUUCUGUAUGAAAAGUUGCUGAACUUUAAGCUCCUCUGUGGCUUUCUGUUCCACAGAAAGAAUAACUGGUACCUGGAAAUAGUUGAGUGGUGAUUACUACUUUUUAUUAAACUAAUUUCAUCUUUAUGUAAGAGCACAGAAAGAUGAAUCUUCUAUAAAGCAACAUUAAACAUAAACAACACAUACUAAACAGUGACACUAAAUGAACUUGUCAAAAACUACAGAAAUCUGUGCGUCUAACCUGGAUUUCAGAAAAGUAACUUUGGUUUUUAAAUUAUGAAAACACCACACAGUCAUUUUACAGUGGUUAAAGCAUUAAUGAUCAUUUAAGUACUACUCCAUAUAAAAGAGAGUUUGUAGGAGUUAGCAUCUACCAGCAUCACCUAUUCCCUUCUUUUUAAAAUUGCUGUCAACACCCACCCCCCAAAUGAUAAACUUUCCUUCUUCCUUCCUUUGGAAGUGAAAGACAAGUGAAGUAACACAAUUCUCUUCAGCAACCUGAUUGACAAGCAGUUAAUGCAAUUCAAGAUUUCUGAAACUAAUGAAGGAAUACCUUCAUGAGAAUGAAAUUGUCUGUAAGAUAUUAAAUUGACUUUCCCCUUCCCCAUCCCCAGGAUGUUUCCUCCAAAAUACUUGUGAUCUAAUGUCAUCCUAGCUGUGAGAGUUUUUCUUUUGAUUGAUCUCUUUUUCAUUAUUUAUAAGUAUCCAGAAAAAUUUUUAAGAAACCCAAAGAAAAAUAUAAAAUGUUAAGUUUUAGUAUUGUUUGAUUUAGAGAUUUAUUUUGAUUCUUAGGAAGAGUAUUAAUGUUGAAAUGUAUUUUUUCAGAACUAUGAAAGAAAAAAUAUUGAAAGGUUUAUUCCUACACUUCAGGGCCAGUUUGCCACAUAAAACCAAUUUAGGAUGAAAAAAAUUAAAAAUCAUUAAAUUUUAGUUGCUUUGCAGUAGUGAACUAAAUGUGUCUUAUGUCUUCAUUAUUACUAGAAGAUAUAAUUAUUUGAUUUUUAAACUGAAACACACUGUGGAUUAGGUUACUUUUUUUAAAUACCUGGGUUACUUUUUUAAUUUUUAAUUUUUUAAUAUAAUUUUUAUUUUUUCCAUUAGAGCUGGUUUACAAUGUUCUGUCAAUUUUUUACUGUACAGCAUGGUGACCCAGGUACACAUACUUGUAUACAUUCUUCUUUUUUCCCAUUAUCAUGCGCCAUUAUAAGUGACUAGAUAUAGUUCCCAGCACUACACAGCAGGAUCUCAUUGCUAGUUCAUUCUAAAGGCAAUAGUCUACAUCUGUUAACCCCAACUUCCCAAUCCAUCAACAUGGAUGGAACUAGAGACUCUCAUACUGAGUGAAGUAAGUCAGAAAGAGAAAGACACAAAUACCUAGGUUACCUUUUAUUAACACUUCGCCCCGAUAGUUUAGAGUUAGAAGUAAAAUUUGGGAAAAAUUUUUUUUGAAUUUCGAAUUUUCUCUCUUCCAUAGAGAUCACAACUGUUAACAUUAAUGUAACAUAGGAGUAGGGAUUAAUGUACUUGAUUUAAAAAAUAUGAAACUACUUCUUGGAAGGUAUAAUUUAAAAUAUGUAUUGAAGAUAAUUAUAAUUUUAUUUUGAAAUAUGUGGGAAUAUUCUCUACUGUUGUGUGUACAUUAUCACUUUGAUAUGGGAAUGAUAUAAAAUACUUGUGUACUAGUGAUGGAUUGUUGGUUAGUAUGUGAACUUCUGUGAACAUUCUAGUACAUUAAUUUUAUUAAUAACUUCUUGUUUCUCAAAGGGAAGUCUUAAAGUAGCAUUGGAACAAUAGAAUAAGAUACUUGUUAAAAUCUGAAAAGAGUUUGGAAUAAAAAAUAGUGGUUAUAUUUAGAUUUUAAACUUUUAUCAGAUUUUGUAUAUAUUGUACAUAUGUAACUUCUAUUAAUGGUUUUGUUAACAUGUAGCUUAACAUGACUAGGACUGUGAAAGUUACUUGACUACUGUAACAAAAUCCCAUGUGUACUAUAAAGAGUGAACUGAAAGGUGAUCCACCAAGAUUUAUAUCCUUUUUUUUCAGUAGUGUUAGAGAAAUAGAAGAAAUAUUCUUCACCAAACUGUAUGUCUUAUUCACUGUGUGAGGUGUUGAAAAACAGGUAGAAAAAUGGUCCAUCUGGGGAAGAAUAGUUUUUCCAAGUAACUUUUAAUAGCUCUACAGGUUGGUCAAAUUUAUGGUA
ensembl:lncRNA